rnacentral:rRNA from 3 species
AAAUGACUCUCGGCAACGGAUAUCCCGGCUCUCGCAUCGAUGAAGAACGUAGCGAAAUGCGAUACUUGGUGUGAAUUGCAGAAUCCCGUGAACCAUCGAGUCUUUGAACGCAAGUUGCGCCCGAGGCCUCGGCUAAGGGCACGUCUGCCUGGGUGUCAUGU